CGGAAGUGGGGGAACAAACUCCUCGAAAGAGGAGCUAAUACCGCAUACAACAGUCUCUCUGUGAAAGGGGAAGACAAAAGCCUUGUCGUAACAGGCAAGGCGCUCUUGGAGGAGCCUGCGGCUGAUUAGCUAGUUGGUGGGGUAAAGGCCUACCAAGGCGAUGAUCAGUAGCUGGUCUGAGAGGAUGGACAGCCACACUGGGACUGAGAUACGGCCCAG
rnacentral:rRNA from 1 species